rnacentral:lncRNA from 1 species
AUAACUCUUAUUUUAUUGUUAAUUUUAUUAUUGUAGCAGGCCAAUUCUGCCUGGUCCAAUAAAUAAAUAAAACUCAAACAGUCCACAUAAAAAAAGUCCAAAAAAAGAGUCCAAAAUUACAAAAAUAACAAACCCAAUUACAAGCCCAAAAUAAACCUAACCCUAGAGCCCAAACAACUCAAAACAAACUAGUUUUUCAGCAAAAAGGAAAAACCUAGCCCUAGCCGCUGCUCCCUUCUUUAGCCGCCGCUACCCAUGCCUCCACUACCCACGUUCUCCACCAUGCGCCCACGCAUCACGCCAUCCACGUUCACCAUACCUGCAACGAAUAGAAGCAAUAAACAGUUGUAAUUAUGGCUAUAAAAAGCCACAAAUAUUCAUUGUUUUUUUUACGAACUCAAUACAAAAAACACACGCAACUAAUACAAAAGAAAUAUUCGAAGCAAAGAGGUGAUUUCAUUUUCUUUUAUCUUCUUUCUCAUUUUUUCCCUUUUAUAUGGAUAUAUAAUAAUAAAAGAAGAAGAAAAGGCUUACCCUUGUUAAUCGCCAAAAAAUUGGCAACUUUUGGAGUUCCGAUCAUCGACGGUGGCGGAGCCCUCGAAGGCGCUCGGCUGGAGUUAGGCCGGACUUAGAGAGGGGAGGAGAGAGUUCAGAGUUUUUUGAAGUUUUUUUUAAAAAAAAAACUAAAGAUAGAAUGAUUUUUUUUUCAAAAAAUGUGACUUAAAUAGUAAAUUAAAAAAGUGUUGUUUUGGCCUAAGCUCAUAAGUCUUAAAACGACGUCGUUUUGCUCUCGUCCGACCCGACCCGACCCGACCCGCCUCAUGAUCCGCGUGUUUUUGAGUAGAAGGGCUAAUUGCACUUUUAGCCCUUCCGCUUUUUUUAUGGUUUUGCAAUUAAGUUUCUUUUAUUUCUAAUUUUUCCCUAGAAUUUUUGCUUUGAUUUCAUUUUAGCCUCGUGUAAAGUGUUGCAUUUUGGAGGGCGGGGAUAUUUUCUCCUUUAGUCUCUCCUUGUUAUUCGCGCACUCGAUUCGAUCCUUUUCUCUUUUAUUUAUUUCCAGAUUUACCCUAAACAUUUGUUUUAGGUUUAAUUAAG